GGACGUGUGGCUCAGUGGAUUAGAGCAUCGGAUUCCGGUUCCGAGGGUCGGGGGUUCGAAUCCCUCCACGUCCG
rfam:Thermosynechococcus elongatus BP-1 DNA, complete genome.